rnacentral:rRNA from 1 species
AGAGUUUGAUCCUGGCUCAGGAUGAACGCCGGCGGUGUGCCUAAUACAUGCAAGUCGUACGCACUGGCCCAACUGAUUGAUGGUGCUUGCACCUGAUUGACGAUGGAUCACCAGUGAGUGGCGGACGGGUGAGUAACACGUAGGUAACCUGCCCCGGAGCGGGGGAUAACAUUUGGAAACAGAUGCUAAUACCGCAUAACAACAAAAGCCACAUGGCUUUUGUUUGAAAGAUGGCCUUGGCUAUCACUCUGGGAUGGACCUGCGGUGCAUUAGCUAGUUGGUAAGGUAACGGCUUACCAAGGCGAUGAUGCAUAGCCGAGUUGAGAGACUGAUCGGCCACAAUGGAACUGAGACACGGUCCAUACUCCUACGGGAGGCAGCAGUAGGGAAUCUUCCACAAUGGGCGCAAGCCUGAUGGAGCAACACCGCGUGAGUGAAGAAGGGUUUCGGCUCGUAAAGCUCUGUUGUUGGAGAAGAACGUGCGUGAGAGUAACUGUUCACGCAGUGACGGUAUCCAACCAGAAAGUCACGGCUAACUACGUGCCAGCAGCCGCGGUAAUACGUAGGUGGCAAGCGUUAUCCGGAUUUAUUGGGCGUAAAGCGAGCGCAGGCGGUUGCUUAGGUCUGAUGUGAAAGCCUUCGGCUUAACCGAAGAAGUGCAUCGGAAACCGGGCGACUUGAGUGCAGAAGAGGACAGUGGAACUCCACGUGUAGCGGUGGAAUGCGUAGAUAUAUGGAAGAACACCAGUGGCGAAGGCGGCUGUCUGGUCUGCAACUGACGCUGAGGCUCGAAAGCAUGGGUAGCGAACAGGAUUAGAUACCCUGGUAGUCCAUACCGUAAACGAUGAGUGCUAGGUGUUGGAGGGUUUCCGCCCUUCAGUGCCGGAGCUAACGCAUUAAGCACUCCGCCUGGGGAGUACGACCGCAAGGUUGAAACUCAAAGGAAUUGACGGGGGCCCGCACAAGCGGUGGAGCAUGUGGUUUAAUUCGAAGCUACGCGAAGAACCUUACCAGGUCUUGACAUCUUGCGCUAACCUUAGAGAUAAGGCGUUCCCUUCGGGGACGCAAUGACAGGUGGUGCAUGGUCGUCGUCAGCUCGUGUCGUGAGAUGUUGGGUUAAGUCCCGCAACGAGCGCAACCCUUGUUACUAGUUGCCAGCAUUAAGUUGGGCACUCUAGUGAGACUGCCGGUGACAAACCGGAGGAAGGUGGGGACGACGUCAGAUCAUCAUGCCCCUUAUGACCUGGGCUACACACGUGCUACAAUGGACGGUACAACGAGUCGCAAGCUCGCGAGAGUAAGCUAAUCUCUUAAAGCCGUUCUCAGUUCGGACUGUAGGCUGCAACUCGCCUACACGAAGUCGGAAUCGCUAGUAAUCGCGGAUCAGCAUGCCGCGGUGAAUACGUUCCCGGGCCUUGCACUCACCGCCCGUCA